AGAUAAAUAAGUAAAUAUUUAAUUAUUAAAUAGUCCAAGUCCUGGUUACAAAGCCCAAACACUACAAGCCCAAAACUUAAAACCAAAAAGCACUACCCGUAUAACCCAAAUUAAACCCUUAAACCCGACCUAACCCACAAUAGCCGACCCAACUCAAACACUACCCAGUAAGCCCUUUACACCCAUGACCCGUAUACAUCAGCGGCCCAAAAGGCCCAAAUGACUUAAGAGGAACAAGAAACCCUAGGGUUUCCUGAACACUAUCGCGCCGCAACUGCUUCUAGAAUAUUCGGGGAGCGUCUGUCCAGUCUACGAAAUCGAGGCCACCAUCAAGGCACUGUCCCGAGGCCCUUCGACACACCAGCUCGACCACCGAUCACGCCUCCACCAGUGGGCCGUGACUUCAGCAUUGUGUCGUGCCCAGCACGGUUACCAUCGAGAUCCUCGCAAGUUACCUGUAAGAAAAAGAAAGAAAUCAAAGCAAAAAAGGCAGCAGAUAUACUAGAACAGGAAACGGAAAGAAAUCCUCCGAUUUAUUUCCAAAAUGGGCAGUAGUUUAAGGCUAUAAAGCCUUUCGCAAAUCUGUAAAAACUUACUUUUUACAUAGAUACACAGGGAGAGACAAAAAAACACAGAAAGAUAGGGAGUUACAAACAAGUUGUAUUCAUAAAAAGCAGAAGAAAUAAAACAGUUUUUGUUUCUUAAAGGUAAUCGAAUCACUUUUUACUAUUUUCCAUUUAUCUGCUUAUUUUCUAGUGUGCAUACACAAAUCUUAGAAUAUAAUCAAAGAAAACAAAAGAAGCGGAGUUACCUUCUUGAUUUGCUGCGAAAAAUGGAAUUUUGAAAACCCUAACCGCCGUACGCGACGGCAUCAAAGGUGGCGCGUGGGCACGUGUGCACUUAAGAGCAGAGGCUUAACAGAGCUCCGGUGCCGGUCCCAGACCCUCAUUCAGAGGAUUUCAC
rnacentral:lncRNA from 1 species